rnacentral:rRNA from 1 species
AUUGAACGCUGGCGGAAGGCCUAACACAUGCAAGUCGAACGGUAGCAGGGGGGAGACUGUGGCGUCGAUCGGCAGAGGGGGGAGGAAUACAUCUGAACGGGCACAGGCGUGGGGGAGGACACUUCGAAAGGAGAACGAAUACUGCAAACGUCCAGAGUGAGAAAGCGGGGGAUCGGAAGAUCUGGGGCUAUUGGAGUGGGCUAUGUCAGAUUAGCUAGUGGGUGGGGUAAAGGCCCACCAAGGCGACGAUCUGUAGCUGGUCUGAGAGGAUGAGCAGCCACACUGGCACUGAGACACGGUCCAGACUCCUACGGGAGGCAGCAGUGGGGAAUUUUGGACAAUGGGGGCAAGCCUGAUCCAGCCAUGCCGCGUGAAUGAAGAAGGCCUUCGGGUUGUAAAGCUCUUUCGGCGGGAACGAAACGACGAGCUCUAACAUCGCUUGCUAAUGACGUUACCUGAAGAAGAAGCACCGGCUAACUCCGUG